UACGGAGGGAGCUAGCGUUGUUCGGAAUUACUGGGCGUAAAGCGCACGUAGGCGGCUUUUUAAGUCAGAGGUGAAAUCCCGGGGCUCAACCUCGGAACUGCCUUUGAAACUGGAAAGCUAGAAUCUUGGAGAGGCGAGUGGAAUUCCGAGUGUAGAGGUGAAAUUCGUAGAUAUUCGGAAGAACACCAGUGGCGAAGGCGUCUCGCGGGACAAGUAUUGACGAUGAGGUGCGAAAGCGUGGGGAGCAAACAGG
rnacentral:rRNA from 1 species